ensembl:lncRNA
CAAACAUACAGUGAAUGCUGUUGCCCAGUGCCACCCAACAGAAAGGUGGGCUGCAAAAGAACAUGACAGUGCGUCCUCUCCACCUUUUUCACUGAAUCUGGCACUGUGCAAGUUCUGGCUCUUCCCCAAAGUCAAAAUGACCACGAAAGGGAAAUGUUUUGAAUCUAUUCAGGACAUCCAGGCAGCAACAACAGCACAGCUGAAGACAUGAAAGAGGACUUCCAGAGCUGCUUCAGAACGUGGAAAGAACGAUGGAGCAGGACAGGCUCGCUGCAGUUGGAGAAGAAAGUGGGCACCUAAGUGCUUAAGCCUCGACACCACCCUGCCGCCUGGCCGUGUGGCAGCUGUCUGUGUGCCUGGCAGCCUUGGCACUGGGCACUUCGCUCUCAGUCUGGUCAGCUCUCUCUGUCAGACUUCCACCGCAUGGGCCGUGAGCUGCCCACAGCAGCCUGGAGAGGAGCUGAAGCCAGGACAGGUGAAGGGAAGAACAAGAAGCCAGGUCUACAAAGAGGAAGAUGGGCCAGGGCCGAGGCCUUGGGGGACUGGAAGUCAGGGCACCCUGUCCCACUGCUGGGUUGCACCUAAGCCCACAGAGUUCUAACAUGAGCCACAAAUACAAGCCUCAACUGCAGUUUACAUUUUCUAGUAACCACAGUUUAUUCUUUCAAAUUUCUCCCCGCUCCCCCUUCCUUCUUCUUCUUCUUAGUUUGCAAUACUGGGGAUGGAACCUGGGGCCUUCACACUGAGCCACAAUCUCCAGCCCUUUUUCAAAAUUUUUAUUUUUGACACAGGUUCUUGCUCAGUCACUACGUUGCCCAGGCUGGGCUUGAACUUGCAAUCCUCCUGUCUCAGCCUCCCAGAGUGCUGGAAUUACAGGUGUAUGCCACUAUGCCCAGCUAUUAUAGCCACAUUUUAAAAAGUAAAAAGCAACAGGUGACAUUAAACAAUACAUUUCACAUAUCUCAAUGUACCCCAAAAUAUCAAUAUAAAAAUGAAUGAGAAAAAAAAUGAAUAAUGAGAUAUUUUAUGUCUUUGAAAGUAAGUCUUUUAAAUCCUGUAUGAAUUUAACACAUAAAAUGCAUCCUAAUUUGGUCCAGGCACCUUGAAAUGCCCAACAGCCAGGGAUAACAGGGCUUGUGAUGACCCUGUGGGACAUCGAAGGCCUCAGUAGAGGCGAUAGUCCUGUCCUGGGCUUCUAAAGGGAUGACAUUCUUCACUGUCCCAAGGAUGAGAGAUGAAACACAAAGACAACACCUCUCUUUUUGGCCCUAUCCAUUCUCCUGUGACUUAUUCUUGGGGCCCGGGUCACGGCAGUCUGAGCAGGAGCAUCCUGCCGUGAUGAGUCACCUCAGAGCCUGGGUGUUCCACCCAACACCCUGGGUCUCGGGGCGUGGGAGAGGCCCAAGCGCGCUUGUUUCUUUCCAGGAGGCCUCCUGCAGCCAGAGGGUGAAGCUCAAAUGGUCCAGACUUCAGCUGGGGUCCGGAACUCCCUGUCCCCACCAGGCCCACCUCCAUGGCCACUGCCUCUGGGAGGCCCCUUCUCAACGGUGAAGAAGGCAGGUAGGAGGGGCUCUGGCACUGCAGUCACUGGAGCGAACGCCCCUUCUGAGAACAGUUGGUGGCAGGCGUGCCCCUCAUGCUUAGACGGAAAUCGGCCUCUCCUCCCCGGCACCAUCUCACUAAUCACACUUAGCUGGGAGCAGAAGAUGUCGCGGGCUACCUGUUUCCCGUUGCUGCUUGUUUUGUCGAGGCCUCCUGUGGCCCUCCCUACUCCACGGCCAUUCUCAGCCCCUCUCCUCAGGAAGGGGCGACUCCUGCACCCCCAAGUUCAGUGGCUUGUCCAUGAGACUCACUGGGGUGACCAGGCUUAGGCUCGGACUCCCCCAUCUGCUGGGAUCUUUCUCUUCUGCCAGGCUGGGUUCUGACCUAGCCUGCUAUGACGUCCCAGUGUGACUGUGUCCCUUCCCCUUGCGCCCCUUCCAGCCCCCCUUCCACCAAAACCGGGUGGUUCUCAGAAUGAGUCCAGGAAUGACCACCAGUACAGAGAGGACUUUUUUGAGUUGGGCUGCAGAGUGCCUGGAGGUUAGGUGGGAUCCAGCCCCUUCUUGCAGGCCCUGAGGCUCCGGUAGGAAGAGGAGAUUGCCAGGCACAGUGGUGCACACCUGUAGUCCCAGCUACUCUGGAGGCUGAGGCAGGAGGAUGUCAAGCUUGAGCCCAGCCUGGACAACUUAGCAACUCAGGGAGACCUUGUGUCAAAAGUGAAAAACAAACAGGAGAGAGGAAUGCCAAAAAAAAAGGAAAGAAGAAAAGAAAGGGCUGGGAUGUGUAGUUCAGUACAAAGGCCCUGCGUUCAAUCUCCAGCACUGUAGAAAGAAGGAGAGAAAGAAGGAAGGAAGGAAGAGAGGGAAAAAGAAAGAAAAGGAAGGAAAGAAAGAGAAAGAAAGAAAGAAAAAGAGGAGAGAGAGAGAAAGAAAAGAAAGAAAGAGAAAGAAAGAAAAAGAAAAGAAAGAGAAAAAAGAAAAGAAA